rnacentral:lncRNA from 1 species
UCAAAAUCAAGUCAAGGGGUUUAUUGCCUGGGGCCGAGAGCAGGUAUGUUCUCUCUUGUCAAGAGGCUAGGCUUGAAAUCCGUGCUUUGUGGAUUUGGUGGAUUCUUUCAGCUGCUAUUUGAAUGGUCUAGGUAUGCCUUGCAGCUUAAACCAUUUCUUACAGUGGAGAUGAAGAGAGUCCUUCCAUCCAUCUGCUGGACCUGCUGGGCCUCAGGGCUUUCUCUGAAGUGGUAGGGGGAAGAUGUCACAGAGGAAAUGUAAAGAAAAGUCUACCUCGGCAGUCUACAGCGUGGUGGAUAAAAAAAGAGCAGGAAGAGUCUGGCGAGGCGAUCAGCCUGAUGUAGGUGCUGAGUGUCCCUCACAAAGUCCCAGCAUGAAAGGGGUGGCUGAGAGCCGCUGGGUGGGCCCCAAGUCCAUGGUGCUAGAGCGAGGUCAGGCUGAGGCAGGGCUGGAGGUGGUUGCAUGGAUGGCACUACAGGCACUUAGAGGGGUCUAAUCUGGGUCCAUUGGGGGCUAUGCCCCACAAGAGUGGUUCCUGUGCCCACGGGUCCCACCAUGAACCCCCCAGCCCCAGGCCUGAGCUCAUAAGUAAGCAGGGAGUCCAGAAGCCAAGCAGCCAAGGGCGUCCCUGACACCCAAAGCAAUGCCACCACAUACAAGGAUAGCCAGACGGAUCCAAGCUGAGGGCUGGACAGUGCCCACGGAGCCAUUUAAAGUCUUGUGUAGUACCUGAGGAAGGCAAGAAAGGAUAUAAAGAAAAUAAGAAACAACACUUUCUCUGCACAUCCAAAUUGUGGCAAGGAUUUUUGCAGAUUGCCACCAGUUCACUGAGAGGAGUCAUUGAAAACAUGGCAUUGAGGACAGAGACUGCCACUUCAGAAUUUUCUACAUCCAACUGCUGAAGCCACUCGAAGAUAUUUCCCUCAGAGAACCAUAACCAGCUUUGGAGAAGAUGCUUCCACAUAGCUUGUUUCACAGCAUCUCAUCUCUCAUUAAAACCUUGUUGAGGGAGCAUUACUGUCUGAGCAAUGGACAUAGCUCUCAUACGAACCUUUUCAGCUAACACCGGAUAAGCCAGCUUUCUGACAGCCUCUUUCACAUCCUUGGUGCACCCUACAAUUUUUGGCAAAGUCUUUGCUGAUGGUGCAAUACAUGAUAACACUGCCUGUCUAAGUUCUGGAUUCAAAUCAAUCAUUUUCGAUCAAAGUAGCAUAUGCAUUAACCACUGGGCAUUCAUCAUCCUUUGGAUCCUGAAGUCGUGAAAGCGCCAGAACUGCCUGUAUUCUCACAUUUGGAAUCUUAUCUUUCAGUCUAAUAAGCAUGGCUUCAUUAAUUUUGUCAAACACACCAUCAUCAAUCUGAGCUUCUUCUGGCAUACUUCUCAAAAGCUUGUUUAUGCAGCUCCUGGUUCUUGAACUAACGUAGGCAUCAGCACAGCUGAUUCUCAUUCAGGAGAAGACAGUGCUGUGCCCAGGGGCCCCUGAGCCAUUGCCCAGCUUUCCAGCUUUCCAGGAAGUCUGCACUGGAGAAGCAUUCAACCUCCUCUGAGCUAACAUUUUCAUGUGCACACGUGAUUAUGAGUGUGAUACAGACAUUAUUUUACUUGUGUAACUAAUUUUUAAAUCAGA